rnacentral:rRNA from 1 species
CCUACGGUGGUCAGCAGUGGGGUAUAUUGCACAAUGUGGGGAACCCUGAUGCAGCGACGCCGCGUGGGUGAAGGAGUGCUUCGGCAUGUAAAGCCCUAUCGGCAGGGAAGAAUCAAGACGGUACCUGCCUAAGCAGCCCCGCCUAACUACGUGCCAUCAGCCGCGGUAAGACGUAGGGGGCGAGCGUUAUCCGGAUUCACUGGGUGCAAAGGGAGCGUAGGCGGCCAUGCAAGCCAGGGGUGAAAGCCCGGGGCCAAACCCCGGGACUGCCCUUGGAACUGCAUGGCUGGAGUGCGGGAGGGGCAGGCGGAAGUCCUGGUGUAGCGGGGAAAUGCGUAGAUAUCAGGAGGAACACCGGAGGCGAAGGCGGCCUGCUGGACUGCGACUGACGUUGAGGCUCGAAAGCGUGGGGAGCGAACAGGAUUAGAUACCCCUGUAGUC